AGACACUUGAAUGACUGUUUCCAGGGGAGCCACGUUCCUCAUAGUACGAGCCUUUGUGUGCUCUGCAGCGGCACUGUCUGGGUAAGAGACGGUGUGACGUCCACUUCCGGCCCCCGCUGACAAGCUCGCCUGUCACUCCGCAGGAGGUGAUUCUGGGAGCAUUAAGAGCAUCUUGGACUCCUGUAAGGGAACACCCUGUCUUCCUCUUUGCCUCUGUACUCUCCAGGGACCAGAUUCUUUGUGACAAGAUCAUCCUCCUUUCCGAGACAGAUAAAGACACCUUCAUGCCGAUGCGGCUCCACCAUCACAUUCUUCCCUGACUGGUUUCCUCUCUUGCCUCCCCGGCCACCACCUCGACCCCGGUUGCCCCCAGACUGGAAGCCCCCACCUCGGCCACCGCCACCUCCUCGUCCCCUGAAGCCACCACCCCCUCCGCCUCGACCUCCACCGCCAAAGCCUCCUCGGCCUCCUCUUCCACCUCCUCUACCGCCUCUGUCACCAAAGCCGCCUCUGCCACCAAAGCCACCCCCACGGGGGCUGAAACCUGGCUUCAUUACUGCGUUCUGGUCGCACGACUCAGGCAACCUGCGGCGUCCCCGACUCCACGAGUCUCAGGCUUUCACUAGGAUGAGGUUCUUAAAGCCCAUGCCCACAGUGAUCCACCUACUCCAACAAGGCCACACCUCCUAAUAGUGCCACUUCCUGGGCCAAGCAUAUACAAACCACCACAGAUGGUCAGUGCCAGUUGUUACAUACAGUCUACUUCUGUUGUAUGACAAAAAUUUGACUGAGAAGUGCUAUGUUGUGUGUAGAAUAAGCAAGGCUAACAGUUCAGAGUUUGGUCAGUUUAUGAGGCGCCCACUUCUGAAGCUUUUUCACCUUUCUAAGUUGCUUCAAAUGCUGGAUGAGUUCUCUGGCAACUUCUUGCAUAGUUCUAAGAGGAGUAACCUCAAUGAUAGGUCUUUUUGAGACAAGGUUUCUUCUAUUAUGCACCUCUAGCUGUCCUAGAACUUGAUAUGUAGACCAGACUGGCCUUAAAUUCAAGAGGUUCACCUGCCUCUGCCUCCUGACUCUAGGGAUUAAAGAAGUGUGCCACCAUACUCAAUCUUUGCAAAACUUCUUGAAUGCCACUACACUGUGUGUACCCUUAGCAAUUCCAUGUGGAUUGUUGAUGUUCUGAGUUGUUUCUACUGCUUUGAAUUUGAAUAAGAAAAUUGUUCCAGGGACAACAGAAUCACUCAGUGUGGGUAAAGGCACUCCCUGCCAAGCCUGAUAACUGAGCUCCGCCCCCAGAGCCCCGACGGUGGAGGGGAGAACCAGGCCCUUCAAGUUACUCUUUAACCUCCAUGCUUGCACCCACCCCCGGCUUUGUAAAAAUGUAGUCAAACAGAAAAGAAAAUACUUUAAUCCCAAACACUUGGAAGGCAGAGGCAGGCAGAUCUCUUGAGUUUGAGGCCAGCCUGGUCUACAUAGCAAGUUCUAGGACAGCCAGAGCUAUGUUAGCGAGACCGUGUCUCAAAAAACAAAAAAGAAACUUGAGUUUGCUUUUUCUCUAAUAUUGUCUCCAUAGUAUAAAAUAAAUAAAAAAUAAAAUAAACAGCAAGUAAGUCACUAGCAAAAAAACAAAAUAUGUACAAUAAAAUGAUGCAUAACAGAGCCACAUUUAUUUUAGCUUGUAAGCUAGUGUCAGGUGACAAAUUGAAGAGUACAAAAUCUGCAAUUACUUUUUGCACCAAAUUAAUGAAUUUCUGGGAAGUGAUGCAUGGAGCAGAAAGUGGCCAGACCCGUGGUAACUGGCAGUGGUGGUGUUCAGAUGAACACCAGGGAGGUCUGCUAGAAGGGGUUGGUUGUUACACAUGUAGAGAUUUCUAACUUGGGAAAACACCUAAUCCUUGCAUUAACAACUGACAGGAAGCCAUGUGUGGUGGUCCAUGCUGACAAUUGCAGAACUGAGGAGAUUGAGACAGGACAGUCUGAGUUCCAGCCCAGCCUAGGCUACUUAGUUAUUGAGGCCAGUCUGGGGUACAUAAUGACAUCCUGAUUCAAAACGCCUAAGGGCCUGGGGAUGGCUCAGCAAUUGAGGACCUGAGUUUAAUUCCCUGCACCCAUAUGGAAGCUUAUAGCCUCUGUUAACUCCAGUUCCAAGGAUCUAGUCACUCCCUUCUGGCCUCUAGUCACAGCACCCAUAUGGCAUACAUACAUGCAGCCCAAAAACCCUAUGUUCAUAAAGAAAUCUUAAAAGAAAAAAAUGCAAAACCAGAACUGGAGUGAAACAUGUAGUGGUCAUGGAGUGAGCUAGUGUGUGCUGUGGAGGUGGGAGGACUCUAGUGUGUGCUGUGAAGGUGGGAGGACUCUAGUGUGUGCUGUGGAGGUGGGAGGGCUGCGUGAGCUCAGGAGUCUGGGCAGCACAGCCGCAGAGGAAAGCGGACACAAGGCCAGCAGCACAGGCUGCACAGGGAGGCAGGAGAGAUGCACAGGGGGACGUAAGAUCAAAUGUCUUGUUUAUUAAAAUCAAGUUCAUUGAACA
rnacentral:lncRNA from 1 species